ensembl:lncRNA
CGCCGGGCCGUGUCUGGGAUAGGGUGUGGAGAAGAUUCUAGGUUCUGGGACGGGGACGGAGAAGAGAACAGGGGCUCUUCCGCGAGGAUGCGAAACUCAAUAAAUUCAGUAAAAACCAAGGCAUAUAAAAUAUCACCCCAAAUUUCAUCACCCUGAAAUAACUAUUACUGCCAUUAAGAACUCCACUACAGACAUUUUUCCUGACAACUACUGAAGUAUUUAAAAGUGAAGUGAUUAUUUUGGGGAUUUGUUUUUUAAAAUUUCACAAGGAAAAAGUGAGUGAGCAUGGAAAUGGAUUUGUCAAGCAAAUGACACCUGUUACCAACUCCAGGGGAGGAGUCCUACUGCAUGGAGGAUAGCAAAUAGCUGAAGAAUGCCUGCCACCAAGAGCAGCAAUCCCAGAAUGUCUACUCCUUGGUUUGUACAUGCCAGGGUUGCCAAGAGAGACACAACUCACGUAGGCACUGGAUGGAACAACACUUUACUCACAUAGGGAAGAAACAGCAAGAUCAGCUUCAGUAGUGGGCAUUGGUCCCCCAUGGCUUAAGAAGAGUUUAAACGCAAAUGAGAAAUCAAGAAAGAUUGAAGAAUCUGGGUUUUUUUCCUGAUUAUAAAAUAUUUAAAAUGUAUAUCAAAGUGCAGAGAAUAACAUUUUUAAAAACCCAUAUACUCAUCCCUCCAAAUCUAUCUAAUCCUAAUAUUUUGCUAUAUUUGCUUCCAAUUUUUUAAGGAAAUAGGUAAUAGUGGAGGCUGUCUUUUAUUCCACAUCUCUUUCCUCUUCCUGGUGCCCACAGAAUUGGUUAUCCUUGAAGCUCAAUAUCUCAGUCAGGUUAUAUCACAGUAUUGAUCCAUGAAGUGUCAUUUUUCCUGGUACACGGUAUAUCCUUUCCUUUGUAGAUUGUUUUCCUUCUUUCGGGCAAUUUUCUUUUCUUUUUUUGGGGGGGUUUGCAGAUGAUUUACUUUUUUUUUUAAGAUUUUUUAUUUUUUUCCUUGUUCUUCCCAAAGCCCCCCAGUACAUAGUUGUAUAUUCUUCGUUGUGGGUCCUUCUGGUUGUGGCAUGUGGGACGCUGCCUCAGCGUGGUUUGAUGAGCAGUGCCAUGUCAGCACCCAGGAUUUGAACCAAUGAAACACUGGGCCGCCUGCAGCGGAGCACGCGAACUUAACCACUCGGCCACGGGGCCAGCCCCUACUUUUUUUUAAUUGAAGUCAAAUUGGUAUAUAGCAUGAUAUAAGUUUCAGGUGUACAGCAUUAUAAUUUGAUAUUUGUAUACACUACACAGUGAUCGCUGUCAAAAGUCUAGUUACCAUCCAUCACCAUACAGUUGACCCCCUUCACCCAUUUCACCCACUCCCCAAUCCAUUCUCUGGUAACCACCAAUCUGUUCUCUAUAUCUAUAAAUUUGUUUUUGUUUUGUUUUGUUUGUUCGUUUUUUUUUUUACAAUCCACAUAUAAGUGAAUUCAUGAUAUUUGAUAUCAGUAUGAUAUUUGUGUCUGACAUUUCACUUAGCAUAAUACACUCAUUGUUGCAAAUGGCAAGACUUCAUUCUUUUUUAUGGCUGAGUAGUUUUCUAUUUUAUAUAUAUACAUUUUCUUUAUCCAUUCAUCCAUUGAUGGACACUUAGGUUGCUUCCAUAUCUUGGCUAUUGUGAAUAAUGCUGCAAUGAACAUAGGGUGCAAAUAUAUUUUUGAAUUAGUAUUUUCACGUUCUUUGGAUAAAUAUCCAGAAGUGGAACAGCUGGAUCAUAUGGUGGUUCUAUUUUUAAUUUUUUGAGGAAUCUCCAUACUAUUUUUCAUAGUGACUGCAUAAAUUUACAUUCCCACCAGCAGUACAUGAGGGUUCCCUUUUCUCCACAUCCUCUCCAACACUUGUCAUUUCUUGUCUUUUUGAUAAUAGCCAUUCUGAUCCAUGUGAGGUGAUACCUCACUGUGGUUUUGAUUUGCAUUUCCGUGAUGAUUAGUGAUGUUGAGCAUCUUUUCAUGUGCCUGUUGAAAAAAUGUCUGUUUAGAUCCUCUGGUCAUUUUUUCAUUGGAUUGUUUGGUUUUCGUUGUUGUUGAGUUGUAUUAAUUUUGGGUAUUAACUCCUUAUCAAAUAUAUCAUUUGCAAAUAUUUUCUCCUAUUUAGUAGGUUGUCUUUUUGUUUUGUAGAUGGUUUCCUUCACUAUGCAGAAACUUUUUAGUUUGAUGUAGGCCCACUUGUUUAGUUUUGCUUUUGUUUCCCUUGCCUUUUGAGUCAGAUCCAAAAAAAAUUACUAGGACCUAUGUCAAAGAGCUUACUGCUUAUGUUUUCUUCUAGGAAUUUUAUAGUUUCAGGUCUUACAUUCAAGUAUUUAAUCCAUUUUGAGUUAAAUUUUGUGUAUGAUGUUAGCUCUAGGUUUGUCAUAUAUGGUCUCUUAUGUUGAGGUCCAUUCCCUCUACACCCACUUCAUUGAGAGUUUUUAUCAUGAAUGGAAUUGAAUUUUGUCAAAUGCUUUUUCUGCAUCUGUUGACAUGAUCAUAUGAUUUCUAUCCUUCGUUUUGUUAAUGUGGUGUAUCACAUUGAUUGAUUUGCAGAUGUUGAACCAUUCUUGCAUCCCUAGAAAAAUCCCACUUGAUCAUGGUGUAUGACCCUUUUAAUGUGUUGUCGAAUUUAGCUUGGUAGUAUUUUGUUCAGGAUUUUGCAUCUAUGUUCACCAGGAAUAUUGGCCUGUAAUUUUCUUUUCUUGUGGUGUCUUUGAUUUUGAUACAAGAGUAAUGAUGGCCUUAUAAAAUGAGUCUGGAAGCAUUCCCUCCUUUUGGAAGAGUUUUAGAAGGAUAGGUUUUAAAUCUUCUUUGAAUGUUUGGUAGAAGUGAAACCAUCUGGUCCUGGACUUUUGUUUGUUGGGAAGUUUGUUAUUACUGGUUCAGUCUCUAGUGAUCAGUCUGUUCAGAUUUUCUAUUUCUUUCUGGUUCAGUCUUAGAAGAUUAUAUGUUUCUAGGAAUUUAUUCAUUUCUUCUAGGAUGUCCAAUUUGUUGGGAUAUAAUUGUUCAUAGUAGUCUCAUGAUCUUUUGUGUUUUUGUAGUAUCAAUUGUAACAUCUCCUCUUUCAUUUCUGAUUUUGAGUCCUCUCACUUUUUAUCUUGGUGAGUCUGGCUAAAAGUUUGUCAAUUUUGUUUCUCUUUUCAAAGAACCAGCUCUUCCUUUCAUUGAUCUUUCCUUUUUUCUUUUUUUUUAAGUCUCCAUUUCAUUUAUUUCCACUCUGAUCUUUAUUACUUCUUUCCUUCCACUAACUUCGACCUUUGUUUGUUCUUCUUUUUCUAGUUCCUUUUGGUGUAGAGUUAAAUUGUUUAUUUGAGAUUUUUCUUGUUUCUUGAGGUGGGCCUGUAUCACUAUGAAUUUCCCUCUUAUAACUGCUUUUGCUACAUCCAUAAAUUUUGGAAUUUUGGAAUUCCAUUUUCAUUUUUCUCAGGGUAUUAUUUGAUUUCCCCUUUGAUCUCUUCAUUGACCCAUUGGUUGUUCACUAGCAUGUUGUUUGGUCUUCACGUAUUUGUGUUUUUCCAGUUUUCUUUUCGUGAUUGAUUUCUGGUUUCAUACCAUUGUGGUCUGAAAAGAUACUUUAUAUAAUUUCCAUCUUCUUAAAUUUAUUGAGACUUGUUUUGUGGCCUAACAUGUAAUCUAUCCUGUAGAAUGUUCCAUGUGCACCUGAGAAGAAUGUGUAGUCUGCUGAUUUUGGAUGGAAUGUUCUGUGUAUGUAUCAAGUCCCUCUGGUCUGAUUUGUUGUUUAAGGCCUAUGUUUCCUCAUUGAUUUUCUGUCUAGAUGAUCUAUCCACUGAUGUAAGUGGGGUAUUAAAAUCCCUUACUAUUAUUGUACUUCUCUCUAUUUCUCCCUUCAGGUCUGUUAAUAUUUGCUUUAUAUACCCAGGUACCUCUAUGCUGAGUGCAUAGAUCUUUAUUAAUAUUAUAUCUUCUUGUUGGAUUGACCCCUUUAUCAUUAUGUAAUGCCCUUCUUUGUCUCUUAUUACAGUCUUUGUUUUAAAGUCUUAUUUUGUCUGAUAUAAGUAUAGCUACUCCAGCUUUGUUUUGGUUUCCAUUUGCAUAAGACAUCUUUUUCCAUCCCUUCACUUUUAGUCUGUGUGUCCUUACAUCUGAAAUGAGUCUCUUGUAGGCAGCAUAUAGAUGGGUCUUGGUUUUUUUUAUCCAUUCAGCCAUUCUAUGUCUUUUGAUUGGAGAAUUUGUCCGUUUACAUUUAAAGUAAUUGUAGGUAGGUAUGCACUUACUGCCAUUUUGUUAAUUGUUUUCUGGCUAUUUCAUAUUUCCUCUCUAGUCCUUUCUUCUGCUUUUCUCUCUUGUGAUUUGAUGACUUUCUUUAGAGUUAUGUUUAGAUUUCAUUCUCAUUAUCUUUUGUGUAUCUACUAUAGAUUUUUACUUUGUGGAUAUCAUGAGGCUCGCAUAUUUCAGCAUAUAAAUUCUAUAUAUAUAUAUCAGUUUAUUUUAAACUGAUAGCAAGUUAAGUUUGAACACAUUCUAAAACUCUACAUUUUUACCCCUACACAUUACAUGUUUUUAAUAUCACAUUUUAUUUUGUAUAUCCCUUAACCAAUUGUUGUAGUUAUAAUAGUUAUUUUUACUACUUAUGUCUUUUAGGCUUCACAUUAGCUUUAUAAUUGAUUAAUCCACUACCUUUACUAUACAUUUAUCUUUACCAGUGAGAUUUUUAAUUUGUUAUGCUUUCUUGUCAAUAAUUAGUGCCCUUUCUUUUCAUCUUAAAAAAAAGCCCUUUUAACAUUUUUUGUAAGACUGGUUUAGUAGUGAUGAACUUCUUUAGUUUUUGCUUGUCUGGAAAAAUCUUUAUCUCUCCUUCGAUUCUGAAUGAUAAUCUCACCAGGUAGAGUAUUCUUGGCAGGAAGUUUUUUGCUUUCAGCAUUUUGAAUAUAUCAUGCCACUCCCUUCUGGCCUGCAAAGUUUCUUCUGAAAAAUCUGCUUAUAGACUUAUGGGAGUUCCCUUGUUCAUAACAAGUUAGUUUUCUCUUCCUGCUUUUAAGAUUCUCUCUUUAUCUUUAACUUUUGACAUUUUAAUUAUAAUGUAUUUUGGUGUGGAUCUCUUUGAGUUCAUCUUGUUUAGAUAUCUAUGGGCUUCCUGGAUCUGGAUGUCUGUUUCCUUCUCAAGAUUAGGAAAGUUUUCAGCCAUUAUUUCUUCAAAUAAGUUUUCUGUCCCUUUCUCUUUCUCUUCUCCUUCUGGGACACCUAUAACAUGUAUGUUGUUUUGCUUGAUGCUAUCUCAUAGGUCAUUUAAUCUAUUUUCACAUUUUUAAAUUCUUUUCUUUUUUUUCUUUUUGCUGCUCUGUUUGUUUGAGUUCCUCUGCCCUGUAUUCCAGGUCACAGAUCUUUGCUUCCUCUAGUCUGCUGUUGAACCCCUCUAGUGUAUUUUUCAGUUCAGUUAUUGUAUUCUUUCAGCUCUGUGACUUCUUUUUGGUACUUGCUUAUACAUUCUGUCUGUUGUUGAAAUUCUCUCUGUGUUCAUCCAUUCUUCUUCUGAGAUUGGUAAGCAUCUUUAUGACCAUUACUUUGAACUCUUUUUCAGGUAAAUUACUUAUCUCUGUUUCAUUCAGGUUUUUUUCCUGUGAUUUUUAUCUUGCUUUUUAGUUUGGAACAUAUUCCUCUGUUUCCUCAUUUUGCUUGCCUCUCUGUGUUUGUUUCUAUGUGUUAGAUGAAACAGCUAUCUCGCCCAGUCUUGAACGACUGGUCACAGGUAGACUGAGAAUGUGUUUCAGUCUGUUAUCUGUGCAGUGCCCUGGGAGAGGUGGCCUGCCAAAAACUGUCUCUCCAAUUGUUUCAGUCUUGUGGGGCCCAGAAAUGCAAGCCCCCCUGGCCACCAGCACUAAGUGUUCAAAGGGAGUCGCCUAUGUGGACUAUGUGCACCCACUAGGUUUGGUGCGGCAGGGGCAUGGUAGAGCACUGAGCCAGGGUAAGUCCACCCACCAAGUUUGGUGGUGGAAGGCUGUGGUGGAACACCAGUGAGGGGCAUGCAGCAGUAGCAAGGUAGAAGAAGAGUGCCAAAAAUGGCACCUUCCAAUGCCUCAGUCCCCAGAGAGAGUUCCAACAGACCUCUGCUCCUUCAGCAGACUCUUUGAUUAGUUAAUGAAUCUCCUUCACAUAUGAUCUAGGUACUUUCAAAACUGCUGCCUUUGCACUGAGUCCUGCGGCAAGUGAGUCUCUAUGUAAACCCUUUGAUAGCAGAGUCUCAGUUUCCUAAAGCCCUUUGGAUCUCCUGGUUGUAGGCCCCAUUAGUUUUCAAAGCCAGACAUUUUGGGGGCUUGUCUUUCCAGAGCAGGUCCUAAGGGUUGGGGUGCCUGAUGUGGAGCUCAAACACCUAACUCCUCAGGAAGAAGCUCUAUGUUUGUGAUAUCCCUCCCACUUGUUGGUCACUGCACAAAGGGUGAGAGUUUGGCAAGACUGCAUCUCUGCUUCUCUUAUUCAUCUCAAUAUGGCCUUUUUAUCCUUGUUGUGGAAGAGCCAUUCUGCUAGUUUUCAGGACUUUUUCAGAAACAAUUGUUUUAUAUGUAGCUGUGUCCGUGGGAGGAAGUGAGCUGAGGAUCUUCCUAUGCUGCCAUCUUGAACCACCUUUCAAGGCAAUUUUCUACUACUGUGUUUUCAAAUAUUACCAAACUACCCCCCUUUCUUAGGUUUCAUCAGAUGAGUUCUCUGUUUUAAGAACAAUAAUUAUCCUUAUGUUGGAUAUUCUUUUAUGUUAUAUCUCUUAUCUUCCUCUUAAUUAUCUCAAUAUUUAUCCUCUAUGUCUAUAACCACUAAUAGAAUAAUGAUGAUGUUCUGUUUCCUUAGUGCUGAAGUUUUCUUUUUCAUUCAAUCCUGUAUCUUAUUGUCCAAUCUUUGAGUUCUUCCUUUAUUGAUUUUAUGUUCUUAUUAAGCAUCUGUCAGGAGUUCCCAAGACCACUUAGAGGUUUGAUGAUUCACUAGGAAGACUCACAGGACUCAACAUAUAGUCAUACUCAUAAUUAUGACUUCUUACAAUGAAAUGAAAGGAAGCAAAGCAAAAUCAGCAAGGGGCAAAGGUCCAUGGGACGAGAUCUGGAGGAAACCAGCAGUGAGCUCCCAAGAGUCCUCUUCCAAAGAAGUCACAAAGCAUGUGUUUAAUUCCUCCAGCAAUGAACAAUAUGUGUGGAAUUCUUUCUGUCAGGGAAGCUUGCCUGAGCCUCAGAAUCCUGGGAUUUUAUCAGUGGUCAGUCCUGCAUCAAAAUUCAAGACUUCCUAAAGGAGAGCAAGUGUUCAGCAUAAACCACAUUGUUUGCAUGAACAGUUUAGGCACAGCAAGCCACUCUUAUCAGUUAAGGAAAUAGAUAAUAAUGGAGUAGUGAGAGGCCUCUCUAAAUCUAAGUUCCCAGAUGCUAGCCAAGGGCAAACUUUGCAAGCAGGCCUCUCUGAGGACAGUAGUCUCAGGCCUGCUAUUCUAACUCUUUUCUGAACAGCAUCCUAGAGUAAAAUUCUUAUCAUCAUGGAGUUUUCUCUUGUUCCUUGGGUAAUGUUAUCUUCCAGGCUGGUUUCUCCAUCUGUCUGUCUAUCUGUCUACCUGUUUAUCUAUGUCUGUAUAUCUUUCUUUUCUUCUUCUGUUUUGUCUGCUGUUGUUGAUGUUGUAUGUUUGCAGUAAUAGCCUCCUGAAUUCAUAAAUCAACAAAAGUCAAGGAAGUAUGCCCAAAAAAGAUAUUUGAGUAGAUAAACUAGAUAUCACCAAGCCAAUAGAUUGAUUCUAUUAAUUUUAAAAGCAGGAGGAACUCAAGUCUCACUCAGAAAAGACUAUUUACUCUUAUUUUAUACACAAAACUACCAAACUUUAAAUUGGAUUAGAACUUCCUAAACUAUUGUCUGGUGAAAAAUAUUAAUAGAUAAGCUGUGGACAACUGGGUAACUAUGUAGAAAAAAUUAAAUUGGACCCAUUUAUCAUAACUUAUAGCCAGGUAAAUUCCAAGUAGUUGAGUUUUUUAAAGGUUAAAAAGAGCCUCAGUUAAAAUAUUGAUUACAGCCUUAUAAGACACUAAGCAGAGGACCCAGCUAAGCUAUGCUGACUUGUUACCCACAGAAACUGAGAUCAUAAAUAUUUUUUAAGCCUCUAAGUUUGUAGUAGUUUGUUAUGCAGCAAUAGAUAACUAAUGCAAUUUGUUAGUUUCUUCAUGGUGUAAUGUAACAACUUCCUCUAUCCUCCAUAUUCUAUAAACUGGAUGUUACUUCUAGAUGUUUGAUUAGAUUCCAGUUCUACUUUUUAAUAUUAAAAAUAUGAGAUAGAUGGUUUUAGUGAUUUCUAUUGCAUCAAUUCUGGAGGCACUCAAUGCCUGAUAAGGUUAGUGGGUUCAAGUGGUGAGAACCUGACCCCUCCACUGUAAACUUCUCCAUCAUCCUUUCAAUUAAUUGUUUCAUCCGUUGAUGAUCUCGGCCUGAAUAAAUAAAUUAAUUUAAUAUGGUAAAAUGGCAAUUUUAUAAUUCAAUCAGUUUUUCUACCUUUACUAACUGUGAUCUUUCUUAGUGUACAGCUUGGUCUCUCUCUCACUUUCACUCUCUCUCAUCCUCCUACCCAGAUCAAGAUAUAGAGGGUUUCUAGGACCCCAGAAAGUUCCUUCCUGAUCUAUACCCUUCCCCAAGAAAACCACUAUUCUGACUUCAAUCAUUAUCAUUUAGUUUUGCCUUCUUGAAUUUCAUAUAAGUGAUAUCAUACAGUGUGUUCUCUCUUGUAUCUAGUUUCUUUCACUUAACAUAAUGUCUGUGAGAUUCACCCAUGUUUUUGAAUGUUCCACUACCUCAUUAUUAUUUUUUUUUUGCUGUGUGUAGUAUUCCACUAAGUGAAUAUAAUACAAUUUAUCUAUUCUCUUGUUGGUGUACAUUUAAGUUGUAUCCACUUGGAGGCUAUUAUGAAUAAAAAUGGUUA